rnacentral:lncRNA from 1 species
AAUAUGAUGACUAACCGAAAAUAAAGCAACGUCUCUCAAAGACUGACAAGGUAGGAAGAGCCCCUGAUGAACGGGUGCAAGCUUUUUAUACCCCGAUGAAGCUAACGGGGUAACGAACGGUUCUUAACGGGGAAACGAACGGGGAACUGUGAACGGGCCUGACAAGAACGAAAAUAAUCCCCGAUUGCUAGAAUUAAGUACAUUAGAACGUAAACAACAUGUUUACGGAACAUAAAAAUCAUCUUACUACAAUUUACAAUCACAAACAAUAUAGUUUUAAUACAAUAAUCAUGUAAUAAUCGAUCUACAACCGCUAUAGUAUUCAUACACUGUUUUACGCUAGUGGUACAUUAAGUUCACCUGAGGUUACACAAAGGUCAGCUCAUUUGCAUAAUCAAUACACACAAAUCAUUGUGCCGGAAAUGGCGGUUGUAACGAUAAAGCGAAAGUUAAUUACACAGGUUGCCUCAAUUCUACAACAAUAAAAAUGGUUGAACACUGGGAAAACUGUAUGAAUAGAACACUGAAAGUAUAAUGCAUUGAAUUAAAAAGGUGAGAACCGGUGUCAAACUUUAAAAUAGCCAAAAAUUGAAUCGUAGCCGAUAACAGGUGCUCGACAUGAAAAUACACAUG